rnacentral:rRNA from 1 species
CGUUAGCUGCAGAAGAAGCACCGGCUAACUCCGUGCCAGCAGCCGCGGUAAUACGGAGGGUGCGAGCGUUAAUCGGAAUUACUGGGCGUAAAGCGCAUGCAGGUGGUUUGUUAAGUCAGAUGUGAAAAGCCCGGGGCUCAACCUCGGAAUUGCAUUUGAAACUGGCAAACUAGAGUACUGUAGAGGGGGUAGAAUUUCAGGUGUAGCGGUGAAAUGCGUAGAGAUCUGAAGGAAUACCGGUGGCGAAGGCGGCCCCCCUGGACAGAUACUGACACUCAGAUGCGAAAGCGUGGGGAGCAAACAGGAUUAGAUACCCUGGUAG